UCACAACAACAGGUCAUAUUGACACAGCGGCGUAACAAGCCAACACCGGGCCCUUAAGUAGGAUUAUCAAGGCAGGCCCCCCUACUACAGCACGGGAUGACG